AAUCAACGCUGGCGGCGUGCCUAACACAUGCAAGUCGAACGCGAAAGUCCCGCAAGGGAUCGGUAGAGUGGCAAACGGGUGAGUAACACGUGGGUGACCUGCCUUCGAGUGGGGGAUAACGUCCCGAAAGGGACGCUAAUACCGCAUAACAUGCUGCCUUUUAAGAGGUGGACAGCAAAGCUGGGGAUCGCAAGACCUAGCGCUUGAAGAGGGGCCCGCGUCCGAUUAGCUAGNGGUGGGGUAACGGCUCACCAAGGCAACGAUCGGUAGCCGGCCUGAGAGGGCGGACGGCCACACUGGGACUGAGACACGGCCCAGACUCCUACGGGAGGCAGCAGUGGGGAAUUGUUCGCAAUGGGCGCAAGCCUGACGACGCAACGCCGCGUGGAGGAUGAAGAUCUUCGGGUCGUAAACUCCUUUCGAUCGAGACGAACGGCCUCCGGGUGAACAAUCCGGGGGAGUGACGGUACCGAGAGAAGAAGCCCCGGCUAACUCCGUGCCAGC
rnacentral:rRNA from 1 species